rnacentral:rRNA from 1 species
UACGGGAGGCAGCAGUGGGGAAUUUUGGACAAUGGGGGCAACCCUGAUCCAGCCAUUGCCGCGUGAUGUGAAAGAAAGGCCCUUCGGGUUGUAAAAGCUACUUUACAGCUGGAACCGAAAGCGGUAUCGCUCUAAACAUCGUGUGCUAAUGACCGUACCCGCAAAAGCCGUCC